rnacentral:misc_RNA from 1 species
GAUGAAGAACGUAGCGAAAUGCGAUAAGUAGUGUGAAUUGCAGAAUUCAGUGAAUCAUCGAAUCUUUGAACGCACAUUGCGCCCCUUGGUAUUCCAUGGGGCAUGCCUGUUCGAGCGUCAUUUGUACCUUCAAGCCUUGCUUGGUGUUGGGUGUUUGUCUCGCCUCUGCGCGCAGGCUCGCCUCAAAACAAUUGGCAGCCGGCGUAUUGAUUUCGGAGCGCAGUACAUCUCGCGCUUUGCACUCAGAACGACGACGUCCAAAAGUACAUUUUUACACUCUUGACCUCGGAUCAGGUAGGGAUACCCGCUGAACUUAAGCAUAUCAAUAAGCGGAGGA